rnacentral:rRNA from 1 species
GACGAACGCUGUUAGCGUGCCUAACACAUGCAAGUCGAGCGAAGUGAGUACUACGGUACGAACUUAGCGGCGGACGGGUGAGUAACGCGUGGACAAUCUACCCUGUAGACUGGGAUAACACCUCGAAAGGGGUGCUAAUACCGGAUAAUGUCGAGAAGCGGCAUCGCUUCUCGAAGAAAGGAGAGAAUCCGCUAUAGGAGGAGUCCGCGUCCCAUUAGCUAGUUGGUGAGGGUAACGGCCCACCAAGGCGACGAUGGGUAGCCGGCCUGAGAGGGUGAACGGCCACACUGGAACUGAGGCACGGUCCAGACUCCUACGGGGGGCAGCAGUGGGGAAUAUUGUGCAAUGGGGGAAACCCUGACACAGCAACGCCGCGUGAGCGAAGAAGGCCUUCGGGUUGUAAAGCUCAAUAGUAUGGGAAGAUAAUGACGGUACCAUACGAAAGCCCCGGCUAACUACGUGCCAGCCGCCGCCGUAACAC